GAGGGUAGAGCUCAGUGGUAGAGCACAUGCCCUGCAUGCACGAGGUCCUGGGUUCAAUCCCCAGUACCUCCA
rnacentral:tRNA from 1 species